rnacentral:rRNA from 1 species
UACGGAGGAUGCGAGCGUUAUCCGGAUUUAUUGGGUUUAAAGGGUGCGUAGGCGGCCUGCCAAGUCAGCGGUAAAAUUGCGGGGCUCAACCCCGUACAGCCGUUGAAACUGCCGGGCUCGAGUGGGCGAGAAGUAUGCGGAAUGCGUGGUGUAGCGGUGAAAUGCAUAGAUAUCACGCAGGACCCCGAUUGCGAAGGCAGCAUACCGGCGCCCUACUGACGCUGAGGCACGAAAGUGCGGGGAUCAAACAGG